rnacentral:rRNA from 1 species
UACGUAGGGUGCAAGCGUUAAUCGGAAUUACUGGGCGUAAAGCGUGCGCAGGCGGCUUUGCAAGACAGAUGUGAAAUCCCCGGGCUUAACCUGGGAACUGCAUUUGUGACUGCAUCGCUGGAGUGCGGCAGAGGGGGGAUGGAAUUCCGCGUGUAGCAGUGAAAUGCGUAGAUAUGCGGAGGAACACCGAUGGCGAAGGCAAUCCCCUGGGCCUGCACUGACGCUCAUGCACGAAAGCGUGGGGAGCAAACAGG